AUUGAACGCUGGCGGAAUGCUUUACACAUGCAAGUCGAACGGCAGCACGGGUGCUUGCACCUGGUGGCGAGUGGCGAACGGGUGAGUAAUAUAUCGGAACGUAUCCAAUAAUGGGGGAUAACUAGCCGAAAGGUUAGCUUAUACCGCAUACGCCCUGAGGGGGAAAGCUGGGGAUCGUAAGACCUAGCGUUGAUGGAGCGGCCGAUAUCUGAUUAGCUAGUUGGUGGGGUAAGAGCCUACCAAGGCGACGAUCAGUAGCUGGUCUGAGAGGACGACCAGCCACACUGGAGCUGAGACACGGUCCAGACUCCUACGGGAGGCAGCAGUGGGGAAUUUUGGACAAUGGGGGCAACCCUGAUCCAGCCAUUCCGCGUGAGUGAAGAAGGCCUUCGGGUUGUAAAGCUCUUUCGCAAGGGAAGAAAACUCGAUCUCUAAUAUAGGUUGAGGCUGACGGUACCUUGAUAAGAAGCACCGGCUAACUACGUGCCAGCCGCCGCAGUAA
rnacentral:rRNA from 1 species